AAAAAAAAAAAAAAAAAAAAAAAAAAAAAAAAAAAAAAAAAAAAAAAAAAAAAAAAAAAAAAAAGACACCACCACCAAAGGAUCCCAUGACACGAGCAGCUAUGACAAAAGGGGGAAAAAUACGAAUACUAAAAAGAUUUUAACUUCUUGUUUCUUAGGGCGGGGGGCGGUAUCCAACUCCUUUUCCUAUCCUCAGACCGUGUGUCCCUACACUGAAAAGUGUUGCCGGCGCUUCAGGACUGACUACCACAGGCACAACCUUGCGAGGUCCCCAUUUCCCCUCCCACGUGGUGCAGGCCAGCAUCGGUUCCCCGGCACUCCGCGGGCCACGGGUGCCGUGCGACACCUGCUCGCAGCCCUCCGGCCGUGCGCAGCUCCUCCGGCGCUAGCUACCCCGGGAUCAUCUCCAGCCUCCGCAGCCCAGAGGCGGUGAGCGACUGCAGCGCAGCCAGGGCGAGGGAAGCAGGGGGCUGGAGCCACGGGGGCUCGACGCGAUC
rnacentral:lncRNA from 1 species